rnacentral:rRNA from 1 species
GGAGUUAGCCGGUGCUUCUUCUGUGAGUGAUGUCCUUCCUGCCGGCUAUUAACCCGCAGGCCUUCUUCCUCACUGAAAGUGCUUUACAACCCGAAGGCCUUCUUCACACACGCGGCAUGGCUGGAUCAGGGUUGCCCCCAUUGUCCAAUAUUCCCCACUGCUGCCUCCCGUAGGAGUCUGGGCCGUGUCUCAGUCCCAGUGUGGCUGAUCCAUCCUCUCAGACCAGCUACGGAUCGUCGCCUUGGUGAGCCGUUACCUCACCAACCAGCUAAUCCGACAUAGGCUCAUCCGAUAGCGCGAGGCCCGAAGGUCCCCCGNUUUCCCCCCGUAGGGCCGUAUGCGGUAUUAGCCUGGGUUUCCCCAGGUUAUCCCCCGACUACCGGGCAGAUUCCUAUGCAUUACUCACCCGUCCGCCGCUCGCCACCAGGGAGCAAGCUCCCCGUGCUGCCGCUCGACUUGCAUGUGUUAGGCCUGCCGCCAGCGUUCCAAUCUGAGCCAGGAUCAAACUCUGA